rnacentral:rRNA from 1 species
GUGGGGAAUCUUGCACAAUGGGGGCAACCCUGAUGCAGCGACGCCGCGUGAGCGAUGAAGCCCUUCGGGGCGUAAAGCUCUUUCGACCGGAACGAUAAUGACGGUACCGGGAGAAGAAGCUGCGGCUAACUACGUGCCAGCAGCCGCGGUAAUACGUAGGCAGCAAGCGUUGUUCGGAGUUACUGGGCGUAAAGAGUGCGUAGGCGGUUUUCUAAGUUCGGUGUGAAAUCUCCCGGCUUAACUGGGAGGGUGCGCCAAAGACUGGGAAGCUGGAGUGUGGGAAAGGCAGGCGGAAUUCCUGGUGUAGCGGUGAAAUGCGUAGAUAUCAGGAGGAACACCGGCGGUGUAGACGGCUUGCUAGACCAUAACUGACGCUGAGGCACGAAAGCGUGGGUAGCAAACA